CCAAAGGCUCUUCUCAGAGCCACUCACAUUAUCUAAACACGGCUGU
rfam:Xenopus tropicalis strain Nigerian Chr06_contig_53, whole genome shotgun sequence.